rnacentral:rRNA from 1 species
UACAGAGGCCUCGAGCGUUAGGCGGAAUCACUGGGCUUAAAGCGUGUGUAGGUGGAUGCCUAAGUACCUUGUGAAAUCCCACAGCUUAACUGUGGAACUGCUGGGUAUACUGGGUGUCUUGAGCAACUCAGGGGCUACCGGAACAAAUGGUGGAGCGGUGAAAUGCGUAGAUAUCAUUUGGAACGCCAAUGGUGAAAACAGGUAGCUGGGGGUUUGCUGACACUGAGACACGAAAGCCAGGGGAGCGAACGGG